rnacentral:rRNA from 1 species
GGGGAAUAUUGGACAAUGGGCGAAAGCCUGAUCCAGCAACGCCGCGUGGGGGAUGACUGCCUUCGGGUUGUAAACCUCUUUCAGCAGGGACGAAGCGAAAGUGACGGUACCUGCAGAAGAAGCACCGGCCAACUACGUGCCAGCAGCCGCGGUAAUACGUAGGGUGCGAGCGUUGUUCGGAAUUAUUGGGCGUAAAGGGCUCGUAGGCGGUUUGUCACGUCGGGAGUGAAAACUCAGGGCUUAACCCUGAGCCUGCUUCCGAUACGGGCAGACUAGAGGUAUGCAGGGGAGAACGGAAUUCCUGGUGUAGCGGUGAAAUGCGCAGAUAUCAGGAGGAACACCGGUGGCGAAGGCGGUUCUCUGGGCAUUACCUGACGCUGAGGAGCGAAAGUGUGGGGAGCGAAC